UUAACCACUUAAGCGCCAGAGCUUGAACCUGCGCGGGGGAGAAGGAGCAGCAAUUAAGCCAUGUUGGAGGCUGUGCUGAUCCGGAUCACGGCAAACUCAAGCUGACGAGGUGGAGGUGUUCGAAAUGUUCGGCGGGGACCUCCCGGUGAAGCGCCAGAGCCGUAAAUGGAAACGGAAAACGAACAGGGCAACCGUUCAGACAACGUUUUUGUGGGCGCAAU
rnacentral:ncRNA from 2 species